AUUGAACGCUGGCGGCAUGCCUUACACAUGCAAGUCGAACGGCAGCACGGGGCGACCUGGUGGCGAGUGGCGAACGGGUGAGUAAUGCAUCGGAACGUACCUUUCAGUGGGGGAUAACGUAGCGAAAGUUACGCUAAUACCGCAUAUUCUGUGAGCAGGAAAGCAGGGGAUCGCAAGACCCUGCGCUGAUUGAGCGGCCGAUGUCAGAUUAGCUCGUUGGUGAGGUAAAGGCUCACCAAGGCGACGAUCUGUAGCGGGUCUGAGAGGAUGAUCCGCCACACUGGAACUGAGACACGGUCCAGACUCCUACGGGAGGCAGCAGUGGGGAAUUUUGGACAAUGGGGGCAACCCUGAUCCAGCCAUGCCGCGUGAGUGAAGAAGGCCUUCGGGUUGUAAAGCUCUUUCGGCCGGGAAGAAAUCGCACGGGCUAAUACCCUGUGUGGAUGACGGUACCGGAAUAAGAAGCACCGGUUAACUACGUGCCAGCCGCCGCGGUAA
rnacentral:rRNA from 1 species